UACGUAGGGUGCAAGCGUUAAUCGGAAUUACUGGGCGUAAAGCGUGCGCAGGCGGUUCUAUAAGACAGAUGUGAAAUCCCCGGGCUCAACCUGGGAACUGCAUUUGUGACUGUAGAGCUGGAGUACGGUAGAGGGGGAUGGAAUUCCGCGUGUAGCAGUGAAAUGCGUAGAUAUUGGGAGGAACACCAGUGGCGAAGGCGGCUCGCUGGACCGGUUCUGACGCUGAUGCGCGAAAGCGUGGGGAGCAAACGGG
rnacentral:rRNA from 1 species